UUUAGUUUUGAUUCAAAGUUUAAUCAAAGACAAAUCAAAUGAAAUCUUUAUAGUUAAACUUUUUAAAACAUUUUAAACAGCUUUAUUGAAGUAUAAUUUACAUGGGAUUCUCUUUGUUUUAGGUAUAGAAUUCAACAAUAAACUUUGUUUGCAUUCAUGUAAUCAGGAAGAGAGGGUGUUGGUGAGCAAAGACUGUGGAACAGAAGAGAAAGGGAAGGGACCCUUCUGUUCAGAGCUCAGAUCAGGAGAAAAGGAGGUGGUGAGUGUCCAAGACCUGAGGAGAGCCAGAGAUGCUAAGCACCAAGGAGUUCAGCAUGAAGGAGCGACUAGAACAGAUCCCCUCUGAAGCAGCUGGGGGCUCAUCUGAGAAACUUCUCAUCCUUGAGGAGUGGUCAGCUAGGAGAGGAAGAAGGGAUGGUGUGGAGCCCACCCAUGGCCUAAGGAGCCAGUGUAGUCCACAGCCUGUGGGACCAGGAGCCUCCAGGUGGGCGACUCAAGAAGAAUCGAUGCUUCAGCCCCCAGCGACAUGUACACGGUGUAAUGACAGGUGUGAAAAAAAUAUGGUGAAUGCUGUUGCCAAGUUCCAUCCAACAGAAAGGUAGGCUUGUAAAAACAUUAUGGUGUGUCCUCAUUCACCUUAUUCACUGGACCUGGCACCAUGUGAAUUCUGGAUCUUCCCUAAAGUCAAAAUGACCAUGAAAGGUAAGUAUUUCAAAUUGAUCCUGGAUAUCAAGGCAGCCAUGUCAGCACAAUUAAAGAUAAUUCACGAAAGAGGACUUUCAGAACUGCUUCAGAAAGCGGCAAGAAUGAUGAGAUAUGUUUGAAGCAAGGGAGAGUGUAUUGAGGAGAGGAAAUGG
rnacentral:lncRNA from 1 species